rnacentral:rRNA from 1 species
AAACGCUUGAAGUCAGUCACAUUGGCUGGAAAUCAACCUUGCUUUUGCUGGGCGUACUUUCUGGUCAAUGGGUCAGCAUCAAUUUUGACCACUGGAAAAAGUGUAAAGGAAUGUGGCACUUUCGGGUGUGUUAUAGCCCUCUGUCGUAUGCAACGGUUGGGAUUGAGGACUGCAGCACGCCUUUAUGGCCGGGGUUCGCCCACGUACGUGCUUAGGAUGUUGGCAUAAUGGCUUUAAGCGA